rnacentral:rRNA from 1 species
GACGAACGCUGGCGGCGUGCUUAACACAUGCAAGUCGAACGGAAAGGCCCUGCUUUUGUGGGGUGCUCGAGUGGCGAACGGGUGAGUAACACGUGAGUAACCUGCCCCUGACUUUGGGAUAACUUCAGGAAACUGGGGCUAAUACCGGAUAGGAGCUCCUGCUGCAUGGUGGGGGUUGGAAAGUUUCGGCGGUUGGGGAUGGACUCGCGGCUUAUCAGCUUGUUGGUGGGGUAGUGGCUUACCAAGGCUUUGACGGGUAGCCGGCCUGAGAAGGUGACCGGCCACAUUGGGACUGAGAUACGGCCCAGACUCCUACGGGAGGCAGCAGUGGGGAAUAUUGCACAAUGGGCGGAAGCCUGAUGCAGCAACGCCGCGUGCGGGAUGACGGCCUUCGGGUUGUAAACCGCUUUCGCCUGUGACGAAGCGUGAGUGACGGUAAUGGGUAAAGAAGCACCGGCUAACUACGUG